rnacentral:misc_RNA from 1 species
GAUGAAGACGUAGUGAAAUGCGAUAAGUAGUGUGAAUUGCAGAAUUCAGUGAAUCAUCGAAUCUUUGAACGCACAUUGCGCCCUUUGGUAUUCCAAAGGGCAUGCCUGUUCGAGCGUCAUUUGUACCCUCAAGCUUUGCUUGGUGUUGGGCGUCUUGUCUCUAGCUUUGCUGGAGACUCGCCUUAAAGUAAUUGGCAGCCGGCCUACUGGUUUCGGAGCGCAGCACAAGUCGCACUCUCUAUCAGCAAAGGUCUAGCAUCCAUUAAGCCUUUUUUUCAACUUUUGACCUCGGAUCAGGUAGGGAUACCCGCUGAACUUAAGCAUAUCAAUAAGCGGAGGA